GUCCUAGCUUUGAUAGUACAUAUACUGAAAUUGGCAUGAUACAGAGAAGAUUAGCAUGGCCCCUGCUCAAGGAUUACACACAAAUUCAUGAAGUGUACCAUAUUUUU
rnacentral:snRNA from 1 species